AUAUCAGUCAUGCAUAGCAUAUCAAUAAGCGGAGGAAAAGAAACUAACAAGGAUUCCCUUAGUAACGGCGAGUGAAGCGGGAAGAGCUCAAAUUUGAAAUCUUCAAGGUUUUACCUUGACGAAUUGUAGUUUAAAGAAGUGUUUUCUGUUGAAGUUUUGGUAAAAGUUCUUUGGAAUAGGACAUCAUAGAGGGUGAGAAUCCCGUAUUUGACCAUUACUUUCAGCUUUGUGAUACACUUUCAAAGAGUCGGAUUGUUUGGGAAUGCAGUCCAAAAUGGGUGGUAAAUUUCAUCUAAAGCUAAAUAUUGGCGAGAGACCGAUAGCGAACAAGUACCGUGAGGGAAAGAUGAAAAGAACUUUGAAAAGAGAGUUAAACAGUACGUGAAAUUGUCAAAAGGGAAGCGUUUGACACCAGUGUUGUUUCCUCGAAAAUCAAUUAAAAAGAGUUGGAUUUUGUGUUGUAUUGACUUUAUCAGCUUUCUUCACUCUUUUCCAGCUUUUUUUAAUGCACUUUUCGUUUAACAAGUCAACAUCAGUUUCUUUUGUUGUAAAAAGGUCAUUGGAAGGUGGCUUUCUCUUCGGAGAAAGUGUUUAUAGCCUUUGACUCAUGCAAUCGGAGAGACUGAGGUCUGCAGCGUAGAUCCUUCGGGGUUAGAUACAUUUGUGCUAAGUUAUAGCUUUUCAUAGACAACUUGUUGACUAUGUUUAGUCUUGUAGCUUACUCGCUUAUGCUAUUUUACCUACGCUUAGGAUGUUGAACUCUAUCACACACAG
rnacentral:rRNA from 1 species